CUGAGUAGCCUCAUCAGCACUUUGCUGGGAACACAUCUGGAGCAGUGUUUUAAGUGUUUUGCUCAUUUAAUCCCCUGUGUUGACUACAAAUAUACUACCUAUAUUUAAUGUCUUUGUCUUGCAUCCAGGGUUCUGUCACAAAAAAAAUGUACAUAGAUCUAUGUACAUACUUGUACUCUAUGUACAUACUGUAGUGUAUAGUCUUGUAGGGCAAUAACUUUAGUGUAUGCUUUGGUCAACUUGUGACAAUCAUUGUUGAAAUACUGCUGGACAUUGUUGUGAUGAUUUAUGUACAAUAAAAUUAAGGACACUACAUGUUAAAAAAAGCAUCAGGAAUGCAUCUAACUUAAAUCUGUAUUACUUCAAGUCAACAAUCAACUGCUGAGGUAACCAGCUGCUCUUGGGAUGUUAGUAUGUGGGAUGACAGUAACCUAUAAAAUGUGGGACAACGCUAGAAACUAAAAUGUCCUUCUCUUACUAGAACUGUGAGCCCAUGGAACUUCUAGAAUGUUCAAUGCUUCCAUUAUUUUAGUCCAUACUUUUUGUUUUGUUUUUUUUUACUUCAAGGUUAAUGAUUUGACCUUAUUGUUUGUAUACACAUGAUAGUCUACAGGCACAACCAAAGCUAUUUUAUUGAAUAGUUUGUACUUGAUUGCUACUUUGUGUGCUGUAGAAGUGCAAUAGAGGCUAAUGUUUUGCUUUUCAACAACAAUAGUGUUUUGUUAAGAUUGCAAGUUGUGAGACUAUUUUCUGAAUGUUUUUUUCUUUUGUUGACCUUUCUCCACAAAGCCAAAUAGAGUAGACUUUGCACAUUUCAUUUGGUAUUGUUGUGAAUGUUUUAUAGAAUCUGUGCAGUGCUGAACUGGGCAUGUACAGUACCUAGUCAUAUUAUGAGUAAUAUAUGUAUGCAUUUAUUGGUACUCUUACAGUGAGCAUAAACUUUCUUAUAAAUCUACCUAUAAAGUCUUAUGUAUGAUUAAGCUUGAGAAAGUGAACCAUAUAUUUUGUGAUAUCAAUUAAUAAUUAUCUUUUCAACAUUAAAAAUAAUCAAAUUAUUUUUCAGCUUAAAAAAUUUUAAUCUUGAAUAAUAUUUCAAACUGGUCAGAUAACAGUGGAGUUUGCUUUUUUCACAUCAUUUUAAUUACAAAAUUGUAAAAAAGUUAUAAUAGAAAAUGGAAUCAUUGAAUUCCUUCAUUUUGUUUUCAUCAACCAAAUAAUACUCUGAUCAAGAGUUCACUAUCUCAAUCCUGAUAUUUAUGUAAACUAGAUCUAAACUAUCUACAAAAAUAUAUGUGUUUACAAAAUAAUGUGUGUAUGGUGUAUAUAUAAAAACAAGUAGGCUUGAGUAUAUUAGUGUAUAUAGGAACCCUUAUCUAUAUUAUAACUUUCACAACAAAUAUGUUUCAUGUAGUAUUUUUGUAUGAACUUGAUGUAUAAAUGUGUAUAUUAUAUAAACAGCAGGACUCAAAAUGUAAGAUGGAAUUCAGUCCAAUAUAGUUGACUUUUUUCUCUUCAUAAGAGUUGCUGAUAUUUAAAUGUUCCCUGUAAGCUGAUGACUGGUGGUAAUUUCUAAACAGUCAAAACUAGCAGGUUUAUGUAGUUCAGUGAGCCAGUGACGACAUGAUUAGGUUGUGCAGUUAUACAUUUCCUCUAUACUCUGACCAUUAAAUUCUGAACAAAAACUUCUGGAGUUCUGCUAUUGAUUUACUUUAAUAAUAAUUAGAGCUUUUAUAUAGUGCUACUUUCAUGCUCUUAGCAUGCUUAGAGCACUAUGAUCCUAUCUUGUUGGUGG